AUUGAACGCUGGCGGCAGGCCUAACACAUGCAAGUCGAGCGGAUGAAGGGAGCUUGCUCCUGGAUUCAGCGGCGGACGGGUGAGUAAUGCCUAGGAAUCUGCCUGGUAGUGGGGGAUAACGUCCGGAAACGGGCGCUAAUACCGCAUACGUCCUGAGGGAGAAAGUGGGGGAUCUUCGGACCUCACGCUAUCAGAUGAGCCUAGGUCGGAUUAGCUAGUUGGUGGGGUAAAGGCCUACCAAGGCGACGAUCCGUAACUGGUCUGAGAGGAUGAUCAGUCACACUGGAACUGAGACACGGUCCAGACUCCUACGGGAGGCAGCAGUGGGGAAUAUUGGACAAUGGGCGAAAGCCUGAUCCAGCCAUGCCGCGUGUGUGAAGAAGGUCUUCGGAUUGUAAAGCACUUUAAGCUGGGAGGAAGGGCAGUAAGUUAAUACCUUGCUGUUGACGUUACCAACAGAAUAAGCACCGGCUAACUUCGUG
rnacentral:rRNA from 1 species